GCAAGGAAUUUUCGUCAAUGGGGGAAACCCUGAACGAGCAACGCCGCGUGGGCGAAGAAGUCCCUCGGGAUGUAAAGCCCUUUUCCCUGUGAAGAAAGAAAGACGGUAGCAGGGGAAUAAGCAUCGGCUAACUACGUGCCAGCAGCCGCGGUAAUACGUAGGAUGCAAGCGUUGUCCGGAAUUAUUGGGCGUAAAGAGCGCGCAGGCGGUGUGACAAGUCAGAUGUGAAAGAGGCCGGCUUAACCGGCAAGGGUCAUUUGAAACUGUCAGACUAGAGUGCAGCAGAGGAUAGUGGAAUUCCCGGUGUAGUGGUGAAAUGCGUAGAUAUCGGGAGGAACACCAGUGGCGAAGGCGACUAUCUGGGCUGUAACUGACGCUGAGGCGCGAAGGCUAGGGUAGCAAACAGG
rnacentral:rRNA from 1 species